GAUGAACGCUAGCGGCAGGCUUAAUACGUGCAAGUCGAGGGACAGCACAGGUAGCAAUACUGGGUGGUAACCGGCAAACGGGUGCGGAACACGUACACAACCUUCCUUUAAGUGGGGGAUAGCCCAGAGAAAUCUGGAUUAAUACCUCGUGAUAUAGUUGAAUGGCAUCAUUUGAUUAUUAUAGCUACGGCGCUUAAUUAUGGGUGUGCGGCUGAGUAGAGAGUUGGCGGAAUAACGGCCCACCAAGUCUACGAUCAGUUGCUGAUUUGAGAGCAUGAUCAGCCACACGGGCACUGAGACACGGGCCCGACUCCUACGGGAGGCAGCAGUAAGGAAUAUUGGUCAAUGGACGCAAGUCUGAACCAGCCAUGCCGCGUGAAGGGUUAAGGUCCUCUGGAUUGUAAACUUCUUUUAUUUGGGACGAAAAAGGGCCUUUCUAGGUCAACUGACGGUACCAGAUGAAUAAGCACCGGCUAACUCCGUGCCAGCCGCCGCAGUAAGAC
rnacentral:rRNA from 1 species